rnacentral:lncRNA from 1 species
UCCAGCACACCAGCUGAAUGAAAUCAAGCGCACCUAAUCUCAAUUGGGAAAUUGGACCAAUAGAAAUUAUGUUCAGUGGCUUGCAGGUGUACCUAAUUAACCAGCCAAAUUAGAAGGGUCUAGGAUUCCUUUGUAAGGCGCAGCAAAAAAGACAAUCAGAUACAAUAUCAGGGAUCUCCUGGUAAGGCUUCUGGCUACCAUUAGUUCUGACUACUGAGGUUUUGAUGAGAAAAAUGGCUGUGAGUUUUGAAAUGUCUUUGAGAAUUUCUUGGAUUUGUUGCCUGCUAAUUGGAGGGAUAACCUGUUAUCCUCCACCUAAAGGUAAUUAUAGAUAUAUUCCCCAAAAUCAAGUAAAAGGAACUGGCCACAAUGCAGCGGAAGCUACUGGCUCCCGUGCCUCGACAGGUGAAGCUACCGGCUCCCGUGCCUCAGCAGGUGAAGCAGCCACCCAUAAUGCCUCUGCAAGCGUCACGACUGGCCCAAAUACCUUAGCUGAAGCAACUGGCCACAAUGCUUCAUCAAGCGCCACGACAGUCCCAAAUGCCUUAGGUGAAGCAGCUGGCCACAGUGCCGCGCAAGCGAUCACCCAUAAUGCCUCGGCAAGUAUGGCAACUGGCCCAAAUACCUUAGGUGAAGCAACUGGCCACGGUGCCUCGGCAGCGGAAGCAACUGGACACAGUGCCAUGCAAACGGCCACUCAUAAUGCCUCAGAAGCGGCCAACCACAAUGCCUCUGCAAGCGUCACGACUGGGCCAAAUACCUUGGGUGAAGGAGCCGACUCCCGUGCCUCAGCAGAAGCAGCAACCCAUAAUAUCUCAGCAAGCGUCACGACUGGCCCAAAUACCUUAGCUGAAGCAACUGGCCACAAUGCUUCAUCAAGCGCCACGACUGGCCCAAGUGCCUCAGGUGAAGUAACUGGCCACAGUGCCUCUGCAGAGGAAGCAACUGGCCACAGUGCCACGCAAGCGGCCACCCAUAAUGCCUCUAAGUGUGGCAGCUGGCCCAAAUACCUUAGGUGAAGCAUCUGGCCACAGUGCUUCAUCAAGCACCACGACUGGCCUAAAUACCUUCGGUGAAACAACCGGCCACUUUGCCUCGGCAGAGGAAGCAACCGGCCACGGUACCUCAAGUGCGGAAUCUGGUUCAAAUGCCUCGGCAGAAGCGACAGGCGCCCUUGCCUCGGCAGAAGCGACAGGCGCCCUUGCCUCGGCAGAAGCGACAGGCGCCCUUGCCUCGGCAGAAGCGACAGGCCUUGAACAGGAGGGCCAACUCCUCAAGCAACAUGGAUAUUAGCAGCAGUGAUGUUUCUCAGGAUUUUGGGUAUGAGGGUGACAAUGAAAGCACCCAAUGUGUCAUCUCCAGCAGCGUUCAAAGCAGCAUCGUUGAACAGUCAAUUCUCGUACUAACAUAGUUACAAAUCGGUGUAUGAGAAGGGCAAUACUGUCUACUCCCAAACCUGCCACACCACUGGGUAGGUUAUGCAAACGUCACUACAGUCCGAGAGAUAUCUCUGAACCAAGCAUAUCCCCACCUGCUACGACUACUGGGAUGCAAUGUAAUGUGCAACUUCUACACUCACCUGCACUUUGCGUUCUGAUUUUGAAAUCCGUUGUACUCAUCGUCUAUCAACAGAAUUGCAAUGGUAGAUUCAUCCUUUGGAUGACAAUUCUGAGUUGUUGCUGACACUUUCUUUAAGCUUCCACUGUAUGCUUAUGCGUCGGCCAGGGAGUUGCUGCUGCUCGUUCUACCCUGCAUUACUUGUAAAACAAUAAAAUAUUGUACCUUUUUUAAAAGUGCCUCCUUGUGUUUUGAAAUAGUGUGUUUUAAUGUCUACCUUUGGCUUGCUGGUUGAGAACAGUGUUGGUUGCCAGUGCAAUUUGUAGUAAUUGGGAAUGUGGUUCACAGUUCCUUAUCUUUUGGAUAUCAAAUCUAUAAUUUAUCUUUGCUGCUGGUUGACAAACCCCAAGAUUGUCUCUACGUUAAAGCCACUGACCACGUUUACAUGUACAUCAAUAUCCCGUUAUUCGGGAUCCUGAAGUAUUUAUUUUGUGUUGCCAUGUAAACAUCAAAUCCUGUUUUACAAAAACCUGAGAAAGCUUGUACCCCGGAGAUGGGCUACUGUGGCAUAUAAACCUCUUCUGUUUUUGUGGUAUGCGCAGGCUCCGUUUCGCCUCUUGUGGUUGUCUGACUCUGUCAAACAAAUCAAUUUAAAGUGGGCUACCUGUCCAGUUUGAUCCACCAUAACUGAGCUUAAUGGC